UGGGGAAUUUUGGACAAUGGGCGAAAGCCUGAUCCAGCAAUGCCGCGUGUGUGAAGAAGGCCUUCGGGUUGUAAAGCACUUUUGUCCGGAAAGAAAUCCUUGGCUCUAAUACAGUCGGGGGAUGACGGUACCGGAAGAAUAAGCACCGGCUAACUACGUGCCAGCAGCCGCGGUAAUACGUAGGGUGCAAGCGUUAAUCGGAAUUACUGGGCGUAAAGCGUGCGCAGGCGGUUUGCUAAGACCGAUGUGAAAUCCCCGGGCUCACCUGGGAACUGCAUUGGUGACUGGCAGGCUAGAGUAUGGCAGAGGGGGGUAGAAUUCCACGUGUAGCAGUGAAAUGCGUAGAGAUGUGAGGAAUACGAUGGCGAAGGCAGCCCCCUGGGCCAAAUACUGACGCUCAUGCACGAAAGCGUGGGGAGCAAACAGGAUUAGAUACCCUGGUAGUCCAGCGCCCUAAACGAUGUCAACUAGUUGUUGGGGACUUCAUUUCCUUAGUAACGUAGCUAACGCGUGAAGUUGACCGCCUGGGGAGUACGGUCGC
rnacentral:rRNA from 1 species